rnacentral:tRNA from 1 species
GGUAAAAUGGUCGAGACGAUAGGCGAUAGACUGUAAAUCUAUAUAGGAGGGUUACCUCUUUUACCA